CAGGCAACCAAAGUUUAAGAUGUCAUGAAUUUGCUCAAGAAUCAAGGCUACGAAAAAGAGGUAGAAUGGCAUUAGGAGAAUUGGUGGAAAAACUUAACCAAUGAGUUGAUUUACUAAUUCAAUGGCUUCCUAUAUGUGCUGAGAACUCAGGGGAAAAGAAAUGAAGGUCCAAUUUUUAUCAUUUAAAUGGUAUAAACUUCAUUGAGGCACUUUUUAACAAGAAGAAACUUUUGCCUGAUGAAACAAGUAUUGAAUCUUAUGGUUUUCACAUUUUCCUGGUACUUUAGUAUCCAAUGGUCAUGGAAUCAUGAAAUGUUAAUGGAAGGAAUUCGAACAAACCAAUACAAGCAUGCUAGAUGGGGACCUAAACUUAACAAGAUAUAAAGCAACUUAUUCAGUUGUGGAGAUCUAAGUUUUCAUGUAUGUAAUUUCAGUUGUUCAAUUGAGAUAGACAGUUAUAUGUUAUUGGUUUUACAUAUCUUUUGAAUGACCCUUUCUGUGUUGAUAUGUAUUUGCUUUC